rnacentral:rRNA from 1 species
AGUGAACGCUGGCGGUAGGCCUAACACAUGCAAGUCGAACGGCAGCACAGUAAGAGCUUGCUCUUACGGGUGGCGAGUGGCGGACGGGUGAGGAAUACAUCGGAAUCUACUUUUUCGUGGGGAAAAUCGAGGGAAACUUACGCCUAUACCGCAAUCGACCUACCGGGGAAAGCAAGGGGUCUUCGGACCUUUGGCGGUUGAAUGGGGCGGUUUCGGAUUUGCUUGUUGGAGGGGUAAAGGCCCACCAAGGCGACGAUCCGUAGCUGGUCUGAGAGGAUGAUCAGCCACACUGGAACUGAGACACGGUCCAGACUCCUACGGGAGGCAGCAGUGGGGAAUAUUGGACAAUGGGCGCAAGCCUGAUCCAGCCAUACCGCGUGGGUGAAGAAGGCCUUCGGGUUGUAAAGCCCUUUUGUUGGGAAAGAAAAGCAGCAGGUUAAUACCCCGCUGUUCUGACGGUACCCAAAGAAUAAGCACCGGCUAACUUCGUG